AAAGUUUGUUACUGGGACAUGUUUAUACACUGAUGGUAAUGAUGGAGGAAGGAAGAGGGGUAUGUGUGGGGCUGCCUCCAGGAGGCAGUGGGGACAGACCCUGAGCACUGGAGCAGCCUUUCUGCUGUCCCAGGAGGCGAGGCAGGUGGUAUGGGCACCUAGGCAGAUGUGUGCCUGCCCAUCCACGGCCGCCCCGUGUGACCUGGGGCAUACCUCCAGUGCCUCGGUCUCCCCUCCUACCUCCCUCUGUGCUAGGGUGGAGGAGAGGUUCAGACCGGAAGGCGCCUCCUGAACUCCAGAGCAGCAUCAGUCCAGCAGGGGACGAGGUGAUCCUCUUUAGUGGGGUCAUCAGGCUCUAUCCAAAGUGGGAUUUUACCUUAAGCACACCCCUUGGGUGAUGAGUCAGGACUUCUGACUCAUCUUGGGGAGUUAAUCGUGGAGAGAUGAGACGAUGGGGGAGGAAAAGCCAGUCAUGACUCUGGACUUGGCUGGGGGCCCCAUCAAGCGGGAAUGGGAAAGGAAAGGCAGCCCAACUCCCCCAACCUUGCGAUGAAGGCUGAGUCCGGGGAUGGGAGAGGGCAGGCUGGGCCCAGACUGACCCAGGCAGACCUGGCCACUGCUGGUCAGGACGCACGCCGAACAUCUGUGGGUCACAGUUUGUUGAUUAAAAGUACACAGUUUGAUCAGAAAUAAGCAAAACUUGCCAGAUGAUCUGCACAGCUGUGAGACAUGAUUCACAGCACCGGCUAGGAGCAUCCCCCACCCCCCCCCCCCCGCCCAUGCGCCCUGUACCGCAGGAGUGGAGCACUCACAAAGGUGGCAGAAGCCUCCAGAGGUGACAGCACUUGCUUAAAAGGGCGGCAUAUGACGUCAUUCGGAAAACCCUGCAUCCUGCUCACCGACUGAGAAUUUCCUGUGAGGGGAUGCCCUGCUGGCCAUGCCAAGAUCAGAAUCUCCGGGCCAAGACCAGAAUCCCCGGGCCAAGACAAACACAGUACAUGACACACACCAGGGAGGGCUCACGAACCGUGUGUGGUGUCAGUGAGUCUUGUGGCCUUAUGUGUGCCUACUCAAAGGGUGGGAAGAGCAAAGACUGACAAGACACCUGAGGACACCAGCGCAAGUCCUGAACCUGCUUUGUCAAGUUCCUGGAGAAGCUCAUUCUAAUCCAGGCUGCUGUGAAGGUCAGAAGGGAGGAUACUCCAGGAUCUGACACACAGAGGGUGCCUAAGAAACGAGGCCAGAGCCUGCAGAAGAAGGUUCCUGAAGCUGAGGCCAGCUGCAGGCCCACAAACAUGUCCCUGGCUGUGCCACACAAAGGCAUAAACCUCUCCUCUAAUUAGCAAGCAUGAUUGUGGCAAGCUAUCCUCCAAGCCGGGCCAGACACACGGCAAUCAACCCCCAUGCUCACAGGAGGACCUGGAGAAACCUCAGUGCCAGCGGGGAAACGUGCUGUCUGCUGAAAGCAAGGAGUGUGAUGAACCUGUUCUACAUCUCAGCCACUGAACCAUCUUCCCUAUCAGGGACUAUGGGGCAUUUCUGUCCCUCUAAGACACUCUUUCUCCAUUAACCAUUUUGGAAAACAGUGGGAAGGGAGGCUCUUGCCAACAGAAGGCUCCAGAGACACCGGACCCACCCACUUUCAGGACUGUGCCGAGUGUGUGGUCAGCCUGCUACCCAGCAGUGACACCGGCAGGUAGUCCACCUGCGAUGACGCUCCUAACCACUCAUCCACAUGUACUAGGCACAGUUCAAGGCCGGGAAAAUAGCGGUAGGCGCAACAGACAAGGAUCCCUGCCUUAUGGAGCGCAGGGGCCUCGUGAGGAGAGACAGGCAAUAAAUCAAUCUGCAUAUCAACGGCUGGUGACAAGUGCCACUGAGAAAAAUACAGCAGGGCAGGAAAGCCCUCUCCAAAGGUGACAUCUGAAUAAAUACCUGAAGCGAGGGAGGAACAUCUGUAGGAAGGACACUCCAGGCAGAAGGAAGAGCAAGUCAAGGGCCCUGGAGUGGGACUGUGCCUAGAGUGAGACACAAAAUGACCCAGAGUGACUGGAAGGGAGUUGGGAAGGAAGCCGGGCUUCCCGGUCUUAGGAAGGACUCUGGCUUUGUUCUGAGAGACGUGGAGAGCCGUUCUGACCGGGCGCUUCCUUACAUGAUUGCUGUGCUCAAAAGAGAAGGAGGCAAGGGGUAUGUGGGAACACUCUGGACUCCGUCUGAUUUUGCUGUGAACCUAAAACUGCUCUAAAAUGUACAGUUGACUAAUUAGAGGGACAGAGAGCACACAGGAGGGCAGUGAGGCAGUGCCCGCCAGUGGUCAGAUCUGGCCACAUUCUGCAGGCAGAGAUGGCAGGACUUGCCUGUGCAUGCAAAGUGCAGCGUGAGAGGAGGAGGACUAUGGGUGACCACAGGCUGUUUACCUAAGCACUAGAAGGAUGGGCUGGCCUUACCCACGAGAGGAAGACUCACCAAAGGCCCUAAUUAAGCUUCCAGGAAAGCAGCAUGGAGGCCACGCCUUAGAGACACCUACAGCUCCGUGAUGCCAGGGUUGGUGGCGUGGAGAGGGGGCAGAGCGAGGACUUGCUGGGGGUUCCUGACCUUCCUUCUGGCCGCAGUUCCGUCCUGUGUCCAACCACACACAGACAGGAAUGACCUCAAGGCCUUCCCAGGGGACAGGUCCUGGGGCUGGAGAGUGAGAAGGCCCUUUCCCAUCAGCUGAUAAGGGGGCUUUUGUGGUGGUGGGCUAAAACCUGGAGCUGGGGCCCUAGCACACACAUACUACCGGCAUCUACCCCUCCCUGGACUUCCAGUAGCCUGGAUCUCCCACUGGGGUUCCGGCUGAAUGAGAGCACCCUCAUGGCAACAAAUCAUGGGACAUAUGGUCUUGGACAGGAGGUUGAUUCUUACCCGAGCCCCUACUUUGCAGAGCCCUCCAUGGGUGACCUUGGGCAGGGGAGAGCACUGAGGAUGGAUAGACAAAUUGGGGCCACGUCAUCCUCGAGACCCUUUCUAAAGAGCUUGGACUAUGGAUGGGGAUAAUCAGAGAAUGGGCUUUAGAGACCUCUCUGAGUGCUGGUGGAGGGUGGGUUUGGGGUCAAUCCUGAAGAUGGGAAGAACAGUCAGGGAAAGGUGAUGGAGGCUGACCCCCUCAAUGACGGCAGGGAUAUAGGAGCUUGACUACUUGUGGGAGUGAGCCUGGGAUGACUGCUGUGUGAUGCCCAGAUUUCUGGCUUGGGGGAGGGUGAUAUUCCCCACUGGGAUGGGCACAGAAGGGGAUAUGGUCAGGGAGCAUGGGACCAGCCUGUACUUCUCCACGAUACCCCCUGCUGCUAAUUUUCUGGUUGUUAGGAAUAGAGAGGAUACAACUCAGCAGGCAUCCUGGCCCACGGGGCUGCCAGUGUCAAAGGGCAGCGGAGUGGCCUGGUAUAGGAAGGGGACUAAGCGGCAAGUGAGGUUCUAGGCUUAGUUUUGCCACAGGCUCAGGAGACCGAGGGACCAGAUGAAUUAUAAGUCACUUUCACUCCUGACAUCCUGGGGCUCCACUGGCUAAAAUCAGGAUUGGGGGAUUUCUGCCAAUAUAAUUCUCUACAAUCGAUGUCCUGAUACAGAGGCAUGGAGCACAGAACAUGAUUGUGGAGCGAGCCCAAGCUCUUCGGCACAACCCAAAAGGUUCUCUAGGACCCGAAUGCUUGUCCAGUCUCAGGUCAACCAACCUCUUCACCUGACUCAUUCCACUUACCCUCCAGAGGUCACCUAUUUCAGGAAGACUUCCUGGACCUCACCUCUCCCAAGACUCACCUUGAUCUUAGCACCCUAAUUGCGUGUCCUUCCUGGCUCCUGGUGAGCCCCCUGAGGGUGGGGCUGUACCAUGUGCCCCUUCCCCCAUGCCUAGCCCAGUUACUGGCAACAUAACGGAUGUUCAAUAAGUGAUUAAAUGAAGAAACUUAA